GGAAUAACACAGAAAAAUAAUCAUGGAAGACUGUCGAUUUCGUUGUCAGAGCAUUUUUAAAUGUAACAACGAUUUUGAUAAUCUUCCUGGAUUUUUUUGUUGAAACUUCU
rnacentral:pre_miRNA from 1 species